rnacentral:rRNA from 1 species
CGGAGGGGACUAGCGUUGUUCGGAAUUACUGGGGCGUAAAGCGCGCGUAGGCGGAUUUGCAAGUCGGGGGUGAAAGCCCGAGGCUCAACCUCGGAACUGCCCUCGAUACUGCAAAUCUCGAGUCCGAGAGAGGUGAGUGGAAUUCCUAGUGUAGAGGUGAAAUUCGUAGAUAUUAGGAAGAACACCAGUGGCGAAGGCGGCUCACUGGCUCGGUACUGACGCUGAGGCGCGAAAGCGUGGGGAGCAAACAGGAUU